UGCCACGUCAUCAGCACCAAAAGCUAGUCACACAGAACAGCUUAGCUAGCAACGUCAACCCCGCAUUCAGAGCGCGGAGCUAUUUCGGAAAAGAAACAAGUAAGGUCAGAUGUGUCGUCCUCCUACACCCAACUUCCUGUCCUAGUCCCAGGAAGUUGUUAUGUUAUGCCAUUGGUCUUUGACGCUACUGAGUACUACGCAGAGGCUUGGAGGUACAGCUACAAGAGUACUGAAUUGAUGAGUACUGAAUCUACACAAGCAUAGUCCUGCUGUAACACACUGGAGUACCUGAGCUACUUAAAGUGAACACUCGUACAGAGACGCUAC